rnacentral:lncRNA from 1 species
AGAAGCAAGCAAAGCACAUUUCCCAUUCCCAGCUCUCCCACACAAAGCAUGAAAGCCACUACACCACAAUACUAGCUCUCCCAAUCAAACACACUUUACAUACUCUCCCUCCUCACCAAACCAAGCCAGCUUGAUAUAUAUCCCUUCCCUUUCUUCCAAUCAAACACAUGUAUGAUUGAUUAGACAGCAGCAAGCAAACCAGAUCCAAGAACAAUACCUAGCUAGCUAGCUGAUGCAUCGAUCCAUCUUGAUCUUCAAUUAAUCCAUCUCGAUCGAGAUCUCAUCAAUCAAAGCAAUAUCAGGCCAGCUUGUUCAAUUUCCUCCCAAGAAAUGAUGAGCUGCACAAGUGAUCGAGAUUCAUGAGCUAUAGAGAAGCGAGAUCCACACAUAUAUAUGAUCCAUGGAGUUGUUCCCUCGGCAGCUUGACCUGUCCCUCAAUAUCAGCACGCCCAGCUCCUCCUCCUCGCCGUCGCCGGCACCGGCGGCCACUAGCUGGCCGUGGACGUCGGCGAAACAGCUGCCAGCUGAUAAAGAAGCUGCUGCCAUGACAGCAUCCGCAAGAUCAGCUCCACUGCUACCGCGCAACUCCGACGUGUGCUCAACUC